ensembl:lncRNA
CAGCAGUGGGCUUUCAAGUACUGACGGUCACAUUGUGUCUUGAUGAUGUUAUGAAACACCCCGCAUCAGGUGGUGAUUUAUUGAUGGUUUUUCUUGAGCUCAUCGCUUCAUAAGUUAGAGGGAUAGUUAACCGAAUGAACAGAAAUUCAAAUUCAGUCAUUAUUUACUAACCUUCAUGUUUUUUCAAACAUGUAUGACUAACAAGAUUUUUGAGAAAAGUUGUUUUGGAUCCCAUUAACCUUUACUGCUAGUAUAAAAACAGUUCUUCUUCAGAACAUUUUUGGUGGACUUGAGGAAUGACAUGGGGGUGGACACCUCUUUCAAACUCUGUCUCUCUCUUUUUCUCACGUCAUAUGUAAUGACCAGACAAAGGUCUGGUGUUUAUGAGGAAGAGGUAUGGACCCCUAAAUCAGUUUGUUUGCUGGUUUCGCCCGUGGAAAUGACUGCGUGCUGCACAGAGAGGGACCAUUCAGAUGCAGAUUUAAAACAGACUGUGAAACAUCUCUUUCAUCUUUAUUCUGAGGUCAUCCUAGCCAUACAGAUCCAGUCUGUAUCCAGAUCAGAUGGUCAUCGUGGCCACCCAGAUCCAGAUCAAUCGGCCCUGCAUUAAUGCAUUAAUGUUGAGUUUUAUUAUUUUUGUAAAUUGUACUCUAUUCACAGAUUGGAUUUUUAUUUAUUACAGUUUUUCACUUCUGAAAAGUGAAUACAAAUUAUACUUGACUGAUUUACAGCAGUGAAUUAAUGCCAUUAAAAGAUAAUAAGGUAUCACUGUUUAUUGCUGAUUUUAAAGCUUACUGAACUUUAAAUGAUUUGGACAUCUACAGUUCUACAUAUACUGUAAAUGCACAACAUAAGAUUGGCCCCUCUUAGAAUCUCCCCUGGAUACCUGCAAUGCUAUGGCCUUUGUGUAGAUUAGGGGUGCAUGAUAAAUAUCGGCCGAUAAUUAAUGCGCAUGUCGUCAGUAAAGCCAGUUCUCUAAUCAGCGGUAAAUUCCAUCAGGUGCUUGAUUUCACAUAGAGCAGUUGUUACUACACAGAGCCAUUGUUAACUGACAAUCUGCGCAAAUCCACGCUGAAAACUGGCUUUACUGAAGAGAUGCGCAUUAAUUAUCGGCCGAUAUUUAUCAUGCACCCCUAGUGUAGAUAUUUAAAGAUGGCCAUCUUUAAGCAUGACUUGAAAUGAAAUGGUAACACUCCAUUUGUUACGUUAACCACAACAGCUAAAGUCUGUCUACACUGGAUGUGAUAAAGUGACUUUUGCAAAUCAUUUGAAUUUUGUGUCAGUAAAUCACCGCGUCAGAUCCAGUGUAGACAGCAUCACUGAUUUUAAUGGGUUCUAUAGUAUUUUGUUGCAUCGUGCUGUGCCGGAGAAGACACGGUUUAAGACUAUGUUUUUUAAAUAUGCCGCAUAUAUCUAACAAAUCUAAUGUUGUUGUCUCUUAUGCGCAAAAUAGUAACUGUAAUAUUGUGAA